rnacentral:lncRNA from 1 species
GUUGGCAUAAUGCACUUGAGACCCACCCAAGUUGUGAGGAUAAAUAGUAAUAUCCCUUUUGAUUGCUGAAUAGUAUUCCAACAGUUUUUUCAUUUAUCCACUGAAGGAGAUUGGAGUGCUCUCUGGUUUGGGGCUAUUACAAAUACAGUUGUUACAUACAUUUGUGUAUGGUGUUUUGAGUGAACAUCUAUUUUCAUUUUUCAGAAGGGCUUGUUCUGUCAUACGGUAAGUAUAUGUUUAACUUGGUAAGAAACAAGUAAGUUGAUUUCUAGAGAUCCUGGACCAUGUCACAUUCUCACCGUCAGUGAAUGUCCUAUCUAGUUGUUCUAUACCCACAACAGCACUUGCUAUUGUCAGUAAUUUAUACUUGACCUAUUCUAGUAGGUAGGUGGCAGUAUGUUGCUGUGGCUUAAAAUUACAUUAUGAUAAUGGAUAAUGAUGUAUUUUGUCAUCUCCUUAUUUACUAUCCAUAUAUCCCCUCUGGUGAACUGUGUGUUCGAGCCUUAUGCUCAUUUUCUAAUUAGAUUGUUUCUUGCUGUUAAAUAGAACAUUUUUGGGGGUGGGGGAUGAUAUGCAUGGGUUAAAAGUGUCUUUAGCUAUAUAGCAAAGAAAACAAAACGUUUAAGUCUUUGAUCAGAGAGGUGAUUGGUAAGUAUUCUCCCCUAGUACGUGGUGGAGGUGAGGUGUGUCUUAAAGUUGGGGUGGUUCUGUAGUCUGUAAUAAAUGAACAGGACAACAUCAGUAGAGGAAAAAAUUUCAAGUUCUGUCCCUAUAUGUUCCCAGUGUGUCUUGGGACAAACAGUUUCUACUCCUUCAUUGUGUGAAUCUGAGAGAGCACCAGAGAACACCGCUAUCAGUACCCAUGGGGUUAUAUAGAGACAGCACAUCCGAAACCUCCUUACAGGAGCAGCUGGAAGCUACAAGAUACCAGGGUAGUAUAAGAAGGAUGGAAGAGUUGCAAGUCCAGGUAAGAGCAGGUAAGUGUCCAUUUAGACAUUUCGAAAACCAGUUUUCCAGUGGAAAGGAAGUUUUAAGCUUAGCUAUGUGGUGGAUGAGGUAAGGCUCUGGGAGACCCUCACAUGGUGUGUCUCAGUGUUGAGAGACCAAAGCAUAGGAUGUAGGAUGGCUCUUCACAGUUACUCUUGAAUCCUGGAUAAACCAGAAAGUAAGUUUCCACUGGGAGAGGCAAGGUAGGUGUUACACGUCCUUGCCUCCGUGCAUUUGAUCACGGUUUGCAAAGUAAUUGUUUUAUAUUCUCAACUCCAAAUCCAUGCUAUCUUCCAUUAAAAAAAAAAAGGAACGAAAGAUGAGGGGCACCUGGCUGGUUCAGUCGGUAGAGCAUAGAAUUCUUGAUCUUGGGGUCGUGAGUUACAGCCCCAUGUUGGGUGUAGAGAUUACUUAAAAAAGAAGGAUGACUCAGAGCAUGGAUACAAGAACCCCAGGAUGGAGGUGAUCGCCUGGGGAAUUAGGCUGUGACAUCGAAUCAAGGAACUGACAAUAGUUGUUCAGUGGUAUUUCAGAAGUGCUGUUGUCCAUUGACUCUUGUAGUUCCCAUGUGCCUGUUUCUCCACCAAAGUGUCUACAGAUGUGAUCCUACUCCUCUCCUGCCACUGUACAUUGCAUGCGUUAGAGAGUGAGGUGAUGAGACUUGGAUUUUGAGCUGAUGUUGUAGUAGGAUAAGAUGUUUUGGGAUCUGGGGAGAGGGUGAAUUAAUUUUACAUAAAGUAGGAACAUGAGACAUUGGGGCCCAGAGGGUGGACUGGGGCAGACAAUCUGUUGAGGCUCCUAUGAUCCCCAUCUCCUGGUGAUGAUGUUUGUGUACUCAUAUCCUUAAGGGUAGGUAGGGCCUGUGACUUGCUUCUAACCAACAUUCUAGCAAAGGUGAUGAGAUGGCACCCCCAUGAUUACAUUGCAUUAUAUGUGUUGGGGAAAUAAUGAGAAGCAAACUACCAUGCUGACUCAAAAAUUCGUCUCCACAAAAUAUAUGUAAAAUAAAAGACAAAUCGGACUUAGUAAGGAGAGACCUUCCUUCAUAAAGGGAACUAUUGCAGUAGGGAGAAUAUAUGCCCAUAAGAUCUGCGAGAAUGUCAAGCGUUAGUUAGGCCAAAAGAGUUUUCCAUUUGAAGCGAGGAUACACAAAGCUGUGUAUGUGGGGAAGCAGGAUAAAGGAUGGUGUGAUUGGACAGAAGAUCAGAGAAUGUUUUACCCUGAAGACAGCCUAUUCGCAAGAGGGGUUGUAUGCUGGCUCAGCUGAGGGUGGGCCUGGAGGAGGAAGAGAAGCUUAAG